UACAGAGGUCUCAAGCGUUGUCCGGAUUCAUUGGGCGUAAAGGGUGCGUAGGCGGCGCGGUAAGUCGGGUGUGAAAUCUUGGAGCUUAACUCCGAAACUGCAUUCGAUACUGCCGUGCUUGAGGACUGGAGAGGAGACUGGAAUUUACGGUGUAGCGGUGAAAUGCGUAGAUAUCGGAAGGAAGACCAGUGGCGAAGGCGGGUCUCUGGACAGUUCCUGACGCUGAGGCACGAAGGCCAGGGGAGCAAACGGG
rnacentral:rRNA from 1 species